rnacentral:rRNA from 1 species
AUGGCGUCCACGCUUUGCUCUCCCCGCCACCACGACCGCUCACAUCUCUGCCGCCGCCUGCGCCCCCGCCCCUCCCCUCCCGGCCACGCUCGUCCCCGGAGCGGCGCCGCCGGCCCAUCAGGAUUGAACACCACGAAAUACCUUUGUUCCCACCCAAUGUCCACCGGCAGGGGUUCUCCCGUAUCGUGUUCAUCCGUGGAAGCAUCCAAAAGCAAGCAAGGACCAGAACAUCUCAUUGUUCUGGUUCAUGGUAUCAUGGCAAGCCCCAGUGACUGGACAUAUGGGGAAGCAGUGCUGAAAAAGAGGCUUGGUGAUAAUUUCUUCAUCUAUGCUAGUUCAUCAAACAUCUACGCCAAAUCUUUUGACGGAAUCAAUGUAGCUGGAAGGAGGUUAGCGAAAGAAGUCUUGGACGUGGUUCAGAAGAUGGCCGGCUUGAAAAAGAUUUCCUUCAUAGCACAUUCUUUGGGUGGUUUGUUUGCUAGAUAUGCUAUUUCUAUACUAUAUUCACAGCAAGCAAAAGAAACUGGAAGUGGUGCUGGUGUCAUGCUGACAAGUGGAGGAUCUGAAAUAUCACGCACUUCAGGAUUAGGUGCCAUUGCUGGGUUGGAGCCAACUAAUUUUAUUACAUUGGCAACCCCACAUCUUGGUGUUAGAGGAAAAAAUCAGCUUCCAUUUCUUCAAGGGCUGUCAAUUCUAGAGAAACUUGCAGCACCUUUGGCACCCUUCAUUGUCGGACGCACUGGUGCUCAACUCUUUCUCACUGAUGGCGAACCUAGCAAGCCACCUCUCCUUCUACUAAUGACAUCUGACCACGAGGACAAAAAGUUCAUAUCUGCACUAGCAGCUUUUAAGAACCGCAUUCUGUAUGCUAAUGUUUCAUAUGACCAUAUGGUUGGUUGGAAAACAUCCUCAAUAAGGAGAGAAUUGGACCUUAGAAAGCCCUUGCAUCGUUCAGUUGAUGGCUACAAGUACAUUGUGAAUGUGGAAUACUGUUCGCCUGUGUCGUCCGACGGUCCCCAUUUUCCUUUGCGGGCAGCCAGAGCUAAAGAAGCUGCACAAAGUACACCGAACAUGGAAAAUACCCAGGAAUAUCACCAGAUGAUGGAGGAGGAGAUGAUUCGUGGGUUGCAGAGAGUGGGUUGGAAGAAAGUAGAUGUGAACUUCCAUGCAUCAAUGUGGCCUUACUCUGCUCACAACAACAUGCAUGUUAAGAAUGAGUGGCUUCACAAUGCGGGUGCCGGUGUGAUCGCCCACGUCGCAGACAGCUUGAAACAGACAUGUCUGCCCUCCAGCCUGUGA